AUUGAACGCUGGCGGCAGGCUUAACACAUGCAAGUCGAGCGGGGUGAUGGUGCUUGCACUAUCACUUAGCGGCGGACGGGUGAGUAAUGCUUAGGAAUCUGCCUAUUAGUGGGGGACACCAUCUCGAAAGGGAUGCUAAUACCGCAUACGUCCUACGGGAGAAAGCAGGGGCUCACUUGUGACCUUGCGCUAAUAGAUGAGCCUCAGUCGGAUUAGCUAGUUGGUGGGGUAAAGGCCUACCAAGUAGACGAUCUGUAGCGGGUGUGAGAGGAUGAUCCGCCACACUGGGACUGAGACACGGCCCAGACUCCUACGGGAGGCAGCAGUGGGGAAUAUUGGACAAUGGGGGGAACCCUGAUCCAGCCAUGCCGCGUGUGUGAAGAAGGCCUUAUGGUUGUAAAGCACUUUAAGCGAGGAGGAGGCUCUUUUGGUUAAUACCCAAGAUGAGUGGACGUUACUCGCAGAAUAAGCACCGGCUAACUCUGUGCCAGCCGCCGCCGUAA
rnacentral:rRNA from 1 species